rnacentral:rRNA from 1 species
AACGGCCAUACCAUGCUGAAUAUACCGGUUCUCGUUAGAUCACCGAAGUCAAGCAUCAUUGGGCGUAGUCAGUACUUGGGAGGGUGACCACCUGGGAGCACCGCGUGCCGUU